rnacentral:rRNA from 1 species
AGAGUUUGAUCCUGGCUCAGAUUGAACGCUGGCGGCAUGCUUUACACAUGCAAGUCGAACGGCAGCACGGGUGCUUGCACCUGGUGGCGAGUGGCGAACGGGUGAGUAAUGCACCGGAACGUACCCAGUAAUGGGGGAUAACACAUCGAAAGAUGUGCUAAUACCGCAUACGCCCUGAGGGGGAAAGCGGGGGAUCGUAAGACCUCGCGUUAUUGGAGCGGCCGAUGCCGGAUUAGCUAGUUGGUGAGGUAAGAGCUCACCAAGGCGACGAUCCGUAGCUGGUCUGAGAGGACGACCAGCCACACUGGGACUGAGACACGGCCCAGACUCCUACGGGAGGCAGCAGUGGGGAAUUUUGGACAAUGGGCGCAAGCCUGAUCCAGCCAUGCCGCGUGAGUGAAGAAGGCCUUCGGGUU